CGUGCUACUGGCAAAUAUUUAACUCCUUCACGUCAUUGCAAUUGUUGUUUUGUAGUACAUGGAAGAGGCUUUGAUUCGUUGCUGGACGAUCAUGACGAAGAUAUAGGGAUUGAAAUGUAAGAGGGAAACGGCAUGUGCGUUAAGUAACGUGUAAUAUUUUCUUUCGCACUUAAGACGAAGUAGGAUUUGGUGGUUCGGGGAACCAUAAGGAUGAACCUGUUGUGUCCGUUAGUGGCGUAGCGGAGGUGGAGGGUAAAAAUUUACUUGGUGGAAAACUUUGAUCUCACUGGUUCCAGUACGUGGUUCAAAUCGAUGGUUAAGUGCUAACUAUUUCUGGAAUUAUUAUGUAGGUGGUGCAACUGACAUGUCGGGGGAGGCCAGCAUACCCGUGCUGGGCAAUGACCCACCUACCACAAAGAGGCAGCGAUCGGCACACGUGCAACGUUCUGUGGCAUCUACUAGGACUUCGUACACCAGGAGAAGGUGAAGAGAGUGGAGAUAUAAGUUAUUUUGCCAAAAUAUUAACAUAAUUAUAAGUUUGUGUGGACAGUUUCUACGAAACUCAAAUUCUACGGGGGUAAUUUUUGUUAAGUAAGCUCGAUCCAUUGUGUUGUAUUCCUGUUACUUGAUUAUGGAAAUGGUUGUCGUUUGUUUAUGUUAUUCAGAAAUAUCAUGUCGAAUAGCAUAUGAAUAUUUGUUACUGUCGACUUAUGUUGAUCGAAUUUUAUGUCAUACCGUACAGCAUGAAUCAUGAUUCAUUCUCCAUAAUUUUCAGAUUAUAUGUAACUCAAAGAUAUUAUUGUCAAAGUUGCUCAUGUGCACUUGAAUUUAUGUGGCUGUACGUUUGUUUUUGUGAUAGCACCCUGAUCUCAUUAUUUGUGUUACAAAUGUCCAUGCCCUUCCUGAAAUAUUGAAGUCCUUCACAGGUUUUUGUUGAUUAUGCUUGAUUGAUGCAUUCAUUUUCUUUGUUCCAGUUUCAUUGGUUUGUUUCACAUUUUUUGUUCAUUAUACUUGAUUGAUGUAUUCAUUUAUACUUGAAAUGUCUAUCUGGCUGAUCACAUGAAGUGGGGGUAGAGAUUUAUGUACACGAGAACGAUUAUGACAAGUUGCAUUCAUCAAUUGACUUCCAUGAUAACUU
rnacentral:lncRNA from 1 species